GGGAGGGUGGGUGCACGCGCGCAACCCGGCGCUGCAAAUUUCCACCGGGGACGGCGAGUGUCUGGAUGCGGAGAGUUUGGAAUUGCUUGCGGCGGAGGGCAGGAAGGGGAGCAGGGCCGGGAAAGGGGGCUGGCGGGCGCUAUAUCUGAGAGUAAGUUUCCUGGAUCGGGAGAGCCUGCACGCUUGCUAGCUACUCUGCUCGCCUCCCCAUCUAACCCCUCAAACGGAGACCGGUCUUCUUUUCGGAUUGCCCAUGCACUUGUUGCUGAGACAGCCAAGGCGCUGCCUCUGGAGGAUGCUGAAAGAGGAAGAUCCGGAAGCAGGACGAUCCUGAAAGACUGAGCCCCUCAACCCUGAAACAGGUAGCUUCUUUGGAAUUCUUGGUGUCUGAAUGUCUCAUAAGAUAGUUUCUUAAUGAAGGAGAGACGGAUUCAUCACUAGAACUGGGAAAGAGAAGCUGUAUGGAAAGGCUGUAUCUCGUAGAGGUAUGCAGCCAACCUACAGCAACAUGGUCAGGAAAGAGCAAGGAGAACAAAUAUUCCCACUCAGUGACCCUUGUGGUGUGGGAAAUGCCUGGAGAAUGGGAGGAAGGCUGUUCUGCUCCUGGGCACCCACAGAUUUCUGGAAAACUUUCCCUGGGAAAUGCUCAGUGGUUAUGGAUCUGCCUGUUGGAAUCUAGCAUCUCCUGGAACAGGGCCUGUCUUGUCUGUCUUAACUUUGCAGAGUAGUUGUGAAUAACUGAAGGACCCACAGGAUGUUUGUGGAUGUUGGCUCUAGAAGUGUUAAGAAGGAAUUGAAGAUGCUGGAGAAUGGUAUUACAGAAGGCCUUUGUGAGAAACUCCACAGAGCCUACCAGAGGCAGAGUCAGGAUCAAGGAACCUUUGAGCCAGCCCUAGAGCAUUUCUAGUGAUUUUUCAUCUCUUCCAGUCUCAGUUUGUCCCUCUAGAACAUGGGCACACAGCCAUGAUCCCUCUUCCAGGUUCCACACAAAAGCUAUCUGAACGGCCAAUGAGUUUGUGUGUAAAUAAUUUUUUUUUUUUGUUGCUGUUUUGAGGUUAAAACCCUGGUCUAGCAAAAUGACUGUUUUCCACUAAUUCUCAGUAACAGUGGAAGGGAGUGUAGUGAUGUCUGAUUUGAUCCUUUUGGUGUGUAUGGUUUUUUUUUUUGGCUUUUGUUCUUGGCAUGUGCCACACUUCUUCAUUGCUCUUUUGUGAGACUCAGAGUUGAUUCAGGUAUUUUGCUUUUUAAAAUUGUGCCUGAUAUUGAUUAUAUUCUUAAGCAAUUGUGUCUUGAGGUUCUAGUAGGAAAUGAUGGCUCACUGUUGAAGAGACUCUAGUGAAGGGACUAUUUAUAAGGGUGUAGGCAGAGUUAGGAGUCCCUGGGUGGUGCAAGUGGUUAAUGUGCUCAGCUGCUAACUGAGAGCUUGGAGGUUCAAGUCUGCCCAGAGGUGCCUUGGAAGAAAAGCCUAGCCAGCUACUUGUAAACAAUCAGCCACUAACAACUCUGUGGAGCACAGUUCCACUCUGGCACACAUGGGGUUGCCAUGAGUUGGAGUCGACUUGACGGUAGUGGUUAGGCAAGAGUUAAGAGGAACCAACAAGGGACCUUGAAGCAUCUCAGGGCUAGCAAUUUCAGGGAGCUGGUACCACGUAGAGUCCUGAAAGGAAGAAGGAGGGAUUGAUUACCAGAACUGGGAAAGAGAAGCUGUAUGGAAAAGCCAUCUCUGAUAGAGGGGUACAGCCAACCUAUAGCAGUGUGGCCGGGAAAGAACCAGGAGAACAAAUAGCCUCACUGAACUCUCCUCUCUGUUCUCCAGCCUCCUGAUGGUACCUCACAUUAGCCACAUUCACCCAGAAACCAGAAGGCAGGGGAGCCUCACUGAUGCUGCCCACAAAGAUUAGAGUCUCUGGGGUGCAGAGCAGAGAGGAGAAGGCUGGGUGUAGAUCUAGAGGGGAAAUGGAACAUAUCUGACAUGGCUGAGAUGACAGAUUACUUGGAUUAUAUUAUAAGGGAUGUUUCUACUUUAGAACCCAAAGAGAGUUUUUUGUUUGUUUGAGUGGAACUUUGCGACCUUCUGUAAGCUGCGUAGAGCUACUGGCUGUGCGGGCUAAAGGAGAGAGAGGAAUCUCCAGUCACACUUCAUCGUUUUUAUAGUUGAAAAGACCCAGGGAAGACAAGCGACUUGUCCAAGGCUCUACAGUAAUUCAUUAAAGUGUUUCCUGAAAACCGAUUAGAUUUUCUUGGAAAAACAACACAAAACACUUGAAACAGUAAAGAAACAAUGCAAAGCAAAACCUGAUCAAGUGCCAGGAGAAGGCUGUGGCUUAGCACUUGUUUCCCCAGUUAUCAGUUCAGAUUCUUUUGGGUUGUGAGUCACAGAAAACCUAACUCAGAGGGGCUUCAACAGCUCAGAGGCUGAAUACGCUCAUGCACCUGCAAAGUACAGGGAUAAGAGACAGAGUGGGCUGCAGGGCCGGUGGCAAAUAGUGACUCGAUGAUGUCAUCAAUGGCCCAGUUUCUUUCCAUCUCUCUGCUCUUUCUUGCAUGAGGUCACUCAUCCUCAGGUUGGCUUCUUUCGUGAAGGCAGAAUGGCUGGAAAAGUUCCGGGACCAUUUUUGCACAUCCCUCUGGCCGGAAGGAAAGAAAACAUUGCUUCUAGUAUCUCUUAAAAAGAUUGAGAAGAUUAUUUCUUUCUUAGGGUUGGUCCCGCCCCAGCAAACCAACACUGACAUUUCACUGGCCUGAAGUGAGUCAUGUGCUCAUUCGUAAACCAAUCCCUGUGGCUAGGAAAAUGCUCUCUGUUGAUUGGCAGGAUUGGAGAUUUCCUGAUUGGCCUUUCCCUCAGGGGAGGAGGGAAGGGGCAGCUUCCCCCUAAAGCACCAGAGCUGGGGGUAGGGCAGUGAACAGAGCUCUGGGUACUUUUGGGGUUGGAGGGAAAUGGGUAUUAGGAGGGCAGCAACUGACACCCACCAUACUGUAUCAUAGGUAGAAAUUCAGUAAAGCCCUACUAAUUUGGACUGGAGUCGUUAGGUGGUACAGAAGAUUAGGUGCUCAGCUGCUAACUGAAAGUUUGGAGGUUAGAGUCCGAGAGGCACCUCAGAAGAAAGACCUGGUGAUCUACUUGUGAAAAAUCAGCCAUUGAAAACCCUAUGGAAUGCAGUUCUGCUCUGACGCACAUGGGGUCACCAUGAGUCGGAGUCAGCUUGAAGGCAACUGGUAAUUUGGGCUAACUGUUGGGGGUAAUGGUAAGGUAAUAGAGGGAAUGCCUACUUUUAAUUAGUCAAAAUCCGAAUUUUAAAAUAUUUUAACACAUACUUUAACAAAGUGUAGUGGUUAAGAGCUCGGCUGCUAACCAAAAGGUUGGCAGUUCACAUCCACCAGCCACUCCUUGGAGACACUAUGGGGCAGUUCUCCUCUGUCCUAUAGAGUCGCUAUGAGUCGGAAUCUACUUGAUGGCAGCUAACAAGAACCCAAAAAGUUACUGUUGGAAGGCUUUCAAUUAGCAUCUGUUUUUCAGGAUGUCUUAAAACGGAACCAUCUAGCAGGUUAAAUAUGUCUUCCACAGUCUGGUUUCAUUCCUAAUUUGCUUAUUCAACCUUUUUAUAGCCAGAGUAUACACUGAGUUUAAAUUCUGGGUUGGUGGAGAUUAAAUUAUAGUAAUGAGGUUCCUCAUUUAUAACCUCAUCUAUAAAACGUGGAUAAGAAUAGCACCUACUUUAUAGGUUUGCUGUAAGGAUUAACUGAGGUAAUCCAAGUAAGGUACUUCGCCCAGUGACUGGUCCAAUAAUUGUUACCUUUAUUAGUAUCAUAUAUCUCAAAAUAGUGCCACGUUUAUGUGUUUAUGCGCAUGAUUAGUCUAGGAAGUAAGCUCUCUUCACAACAAACCUGUCACUGAUUAGCUCUAUUAGAGACAAAGUAAAUAAGGGUAUUAAAAUAUUUAGUGUUUAUAGAUUUUUUUUUUACUUUUUUAAAUUAGAAUUCAUUUUAGGGAAAGUCUAAAUAAAGUUUUAAGUAGCGUACAAAUAAUUUAAAAUCAGAUAUAGUCCCUGGAAAAUAGGGAUUAUUUAAUUUUAUCUGGUAUAUUGUUGUUGUUGGAUGCCGUCCACUAGAUUUGACUCAUAGUGACCCCGUGUGACAGAAUAGAA